CCUACGGGAGGCUGCAGUGGGGAAUAUUGGACAAUGGGCGAAAGCCUGAUCCAGCCAUGCCGCGUGUGUGAAGAAGGCCUUCGGGUUGUAAAGCACUUUCAGUGGGGAAGAAAGCCUUGGGGCUAAUACCCUCGAGGAAGGACAUCACCCACAGAAGAAGCACCGGCUAACUCCGUGCCAGCAGCUGCGGUAAUACGGAGGGUGCGAGCGUUAAUCGGAAUUACUGGGCGUAAAGCGCGCGUAGGCGGUCUGAUAAGCCGGUUGUGAAAGCCCCGGGCUCAACCUGGGAACGGCAUCCGGAACUGUCAGGCUAGAGUGCAGGAGAGGAAGGUAGAAUUCCCGGUGUAGCGGUGAAAUGCGUAGCGAUCGGGAGGAAUACCAGUGGCGAAGGCGGCCUUCUGGACUGACACUGACGCUGAGGUGCGAAAGCGUGGGUAGCAAACAGGAUUAGAUACCCGUGUAGUC
rnacentral:rRNA from 1 species